CUCGUAGGCGGUUCGUCGCGUCCGGUGUGAAAGUCUAUCGCUUAACGGUGGAUCCGCGCCGGGUACGGGCGGGCUGGAGUGCGGUAGGGGAGACUGGAAUUCCCGGUGUAACGGUGGGAUGUGUAGAUAUCGGGAAGAACACCAAUGGCGAAGGCAGGUCUCUGGGCCGUUACUGACGCUGAGGAGCGAAAGCGUGGGGAGCGAACA
rnacentral:rRNA from 1 species